AGGGUUUGAUCCUGGCUCAGGAUGAACGCUAGCGGCAGGCUUCAUACAUGCAAGUCGAGGGGCAGCAUAAAUUACUUGUAAUUUGAUGGCGACCGGCGAACGGGUGCGUAACGCGUAUGCAACUUACCUUUUACUAGAGAAUAGCCAAGAGAAAUUUUGAUUAAUGCUCUAUACACUUAUUAAUUCUCAUGAAUCUAUAAGAAAAGCUCCGGCGGUAAAAGAUGGGCAUGCGUCCUAUUAGCUUGUAGGUGAGGUAACGGCUCACCUAAGCUCCGAUAGGUAGGGGUCCUGAGAGGGAGAUCCCCCACACUGGUACUGAGACACGGACCAGACUUCUACGGAAGGCAGCAGUAAGGAAUAUUGGACAAUGGAGGCAACUCUGAUCCAGCCAUGCCGCGUGAAGGAAGACGGCCUUAUGGGUUGUAAACUUCUUUUAUACAGGAAGAAACCUUUCCACGUGUGGAAAGCUGACGGUACUGUAAGAAUAAGGAUCGGCUAACUCCGUGCCAGCAGCCGCGGUAAUACGGAGGAUCCAAGCGUUAUCCGGAAUUAUUGGGUUUAAAGGGUCCGCAGGCUGUUUGUUAAGUCAGAGGUGAAAUCCUACCGCUCAACGGUAGAACUGCCUUUGAUACUGGCAAACUUGAGUUAUUGUGAAGUAGUUAGAAUGUGUAGUGUAGCGGUGAAAUGCAUAGAUAUUACACAGAAUACCGAUUGCGAAAGCAGAUUACUAACAAUAUACUGACGCUGAGGGACGAAAGCGUGGGUAGCGAACAGGAUUAGAUACCCUGGUAGUCCACGCCGUAAACGAUGGUCACUAGCUGUUUGAUGUACAUUGGUACAUUGAGUGGCUAAGCGAAAGUGAUAAGUGACCCACCUGGGGAGUACGCUCGCAAGAGUGAAACUCAAAGGAAUUGACGGGGGCCCGCACAAGCGGUGGAGCAUGUGGUUUAAUUCGAUGAUACGCGAGGAACCUUACCAGGACUUAAAUGUAAGUUGCAUGAUUCAGAAAUGGAUCUUUCUUCGGACUACUUACAAGGUGCUGCAUGGUUGUCGUCAGCUCGUGCCGUGAGGUGUCAGGUUAAGUCCUAUAACGAGCGCAACCCCUAUCGUUAGUUGCCAUCAAGUAAAGUUGGGAACUCUAGCGAAACUGCCGGUGCAAACCGUGAGGAAGGUGGGGAUGACGUCAAAUCAUCACGGCCCUUACGUUCUGGGCUACACACGUGCUACAAUGGCCGGUACAGAAAGCAGCCACUAUGCGAAUAGGAGCUAAUCUUCAAAGCCGGUCUCAGUUCGGAUCGCAGUCUGCAACUCGACUGCGUGAAGCUGGAAUCGCUAGUAAUCGGAUAUCAGCCAUGAUCCGGUGAAUACGUUCCCGGGCCUUGUACACACCGCCCGUCAAGCCAUGGAAGCUGGGGGUACCUAAAGUCGGUGACCGAAAGGAGCCGCCUAGGGUAAAACUAGUAACUGGGGCUAAGUCAUAACAAGGUAACCGUA
rnacentral:rRNA from 1 species